GAUGAACGCUAGCGGCAGGCUUAACACAUGCAAGUCGAGGGGUAUUGGUUUUCGGACCAAGAGACCGGCGCACGGGUGCGUAACGCGUAUGCAAUCUACCUUUUGCAGAGGGAUAGCCCCAGAGAAAUUUGGAUUAAUACCUCAUAGUAUAGUACUUUGGCAUCAAGGAACUAUUAAAGUCACAACGGCAAAAGAUGAGCAUGCGUCCCAUUAGCUAGUUGGUAAGGUAACGGCUUACCAAGGCUACGAUGGGUAGGGGUCCUGAGAGGGAGAUCCCCCACACUGGUACUGAGACACGGACCAGACUCCUACGGGAGGCAGCAGUGAGGAAUAUUGGACAAUGGGCGCAAGCCUGAUCCAGCCAUGCCGCGUGCAGGAUGACGGUCCUAUGGAUUGUAAACUGCUUUUUAAUACAGGAAGAAACACUCCGACGUGUCGGAGCUUGACGGUACUGUAAGAAUAAGGAUCGGCU
rnacentral:rRNA from 1 species